AUAUGUUCUCCUGGAUAUAGCAUUAUAUCCAGAUGUUCUUAUGGAAACUGAACCAUAUCUAGAUGUUCUUAUGGAAGGCCUUUGGAGUGAAGACUGGCUUUCUGCAUUGUGACUCAUGCAAAUGCACUGCAUAGGAAACACAGCGUGUCUGCCUUCUUUCUGGUACUGUAGAGUGAGGAGGCAUUUAUCUCUCUGACUCACACGUCUGCCAUCGCCAGAUGAAUGGCCUCUUCUGCUGUCAAUCGUGGAACAAAGGACAGUUUUCUGCACAGCGAAGAGGGAAAUCAUGCUUUUAGACCAUCCAGGCUUGGAGAUAAACUUAGAUCUCUCUGUGCGUUUCUCAUUCCCUCCAUUUGUCUUCCGUUCCACAUUGCUAAUCUAAUGUUGAAUGGUCAAAAGUGUUUUACACAAAUCAGGCUGAUACCACUGUUAAAGCUGUGCACUUUUACUGUGUGCCUACUUCACUUUCUCUGCCUCUUUCUGUUUCCCUCUCUCUCUCUGCCUCUCUCUGUUUCCCUCUCUCACUCUGCCUCUCUCUGUUUCCCUCUCUCGCUCUGCCUCUCUCUGUUUCCCUCUCUCGCUCUGCCUCUCUCUGUUUCCCUCUCUCGCUCUGCCUCUCUCUGUUUCCCUGUCUCUCGCUCUGCUUCUUUCUGUUUCCCUGUCUCGCUCUGCCUCUCUCUGUUUCCCUCUCUCGCUCUGCCUCUCUCUGUUUCCCUGUCUCUAGCUCUGCCUCUCUCUGUUUCCCUCUCUCGCUCUGCCUCUCUCUGUUUCCCUCUCUCGCUCUGCCUCUCUCUGUUUCCCUGUCUCUCGCUCUGCCUCUCUCUGUUUCCCUCUCUCGCUCUGCCUCUCUCUGUUUCCCUCUCUCUCGCUCUGCCUCUCUCUGUUUCCCUCUCUCACUCUCCCUCUCUCUGUUUCCCUCUCUCGCUCUGCCUCUCUCUGUUUCCCUGUCUCUCGCUCUGCCUCUCUCUGUUUCCCUCUCUCUCGCUCUGCCUCUCUCUGUUUCCCUCUUUCUCUCUCUGCCUCUCUCUGUUUCCCUCUCUCGCUCUCCCUCUCUCUGUUUCCCUCUCUCGCUCUGCCUCUCUCUGUUUCCCUCUCUCUCGCUCUGCCUCUCUCUGUUUCCCUCUCUCUCUCUCUGCCUCUCUCUGUUUCCCUGUCUCUCGCUCUGCCUCUCUCUGUUUCCCUCUCUCUCGCUCUGCCUCUCUCUGUUUCCCUCUCUCUCUCUCUGCCUCUCUCUGUUUCCCUCUCUCACUCUCCCUCUCUCUGUUUCCCUCUCUCGCUCUGCCUCUCUCUGUUUCCCUCUCUCGCUCUGCCUCUCUCUGUUUCCCUCUCUCUCGCUCUGCCUCUCUCUGUUUCCCUCUCUCUCUCUCUGCCUCUCUCUGUUUCCCUCUCUCGCUCUCCCUCUCUCUGUUUCCCUCUCUCGCUCUGCCUCUCUCUGUUUCCCUCUCUCGCUCUGCCUCUCUCUGUUUCCCUGUCUCUCGCUCUGCCUCUCUCUGUUUCCCUCUCUCUCGCUCUGCCUCUCUCUGUUUCCCUCUCUCACUCUCCCUCUCUCUGUUUCCCUCUCUCGCUCUGCCUCUCUCUGUUUCCCUGUCUCUCGCUCUGCCUCUCUCUGUUUCCCUCUCUCUCUCUCUGCCUCUCUCUGUUUCCCUCUCUCGCUCUCCCUCUCUCUGUUUCCCUCUCUCGCUCUGCCUCUCUCUGUUUCCCUCUCUCGCUCUGCCUCUCUCUGUUUCCCUCUCUCUCGCUCUGCCUCUCUCUGUUUCCCUCUCUCGCUCUGCCUCUCUCUGUUUCCCUGUCUCUCGCUCUGCCUCUCUCUGUUUCCCUCUCUCUCGCUCUGCCUCUCUCUGUUUCCCUCUCUCUCUCUCUGCCUCUCUCUGUUUCCCUCUCUCACUCUCCCUCUCUCUGUUUCCCUCUCUCGCUCUGCCUCUCUCUGUUUCCCUCUCUCGCUCUGCCUCUCUCUGUUUCCCUCUCUCUCGCUCUGCCUCUCUCUGUUUCCCUCUCUCUCUCUCUGCCUCUCUCUGUUUCCCUCUCUCGCUCUCCCUCUCUCUGUUUCCCUCUCUCGCUCUGCCUCUCUCUGUUUCCCUCUCUCGCUCUGCCUCUCUCUGUUUCCCUCUCUCGCUCUGCCUCUCUCUGUUUCCCUGUCUCUCGCUCUGCCUCUCUCUGUUUCCCUCUCUCGCUCUGCCUCUCUCUGUUUCCCUCUCUCUCGCUCUGCCUCUCUCUGUUUCCCUCUCUCACUCUCCCUCUCUCUGUUUCCCUCUCUCGCUCUGCCUCUCUCUGUUUCCCUGUCUCUCGCUCUGCCUCUCUCUGUUUCCCUCUCUCUCGCUCUGCCUCUCUCUGUUUCCCUCUUUCUCUCUCUGCCUCUCUCUGUUUCCCUCUCUCGCUCUCCCUCUCUCUGUUUCCCUCUCUCGCUCUGCCUCUCUCUGUUUCCCUCUCUCUCGCUCUGCCUCUCUCUGUUUCCCUCUCUCGCUCUGCCUCUCUCUGUUUCCCUGUCUCUCGCUCUGCCUCUCUCUGUUUCCCUCUCUCUCGCUCUGCCUCUCUCUGUUUCCCUCUCUCUCUCUCUGCCUCUCUCUGUUUCCCUCUCUCACUCUCCCUCUCUCUGUUUCCCUCUCUCGCUCUGCCUCUCUCUGUUUCCCUCUCUCGCUCUGCCUCUCUCUGUUUCCCUCUCUCUCGCUCUGCCUCUCUCUGUUUCCCUCUCUCUCUCUCUGCCUCUCUCUGUUUCCCUCUCUCGCUCUCCCUCUCUCUGUUUCCCUCUCUCGCUCUGCCUCUCUCUGUUUCCCUCUCUCGCUCUGCCUCUCUCUGUUUCCCUGUCUCUCGCUCUGCCUCUCUCUGUUUCCCUCUCUCUCGCUCUGCCUCUCUCUGUUUCCCUCUCUCACUCUCCCUCUCUCUGUUUCCCUCUCUCGCUCUGCCUCUCUCUGUUUCCCUGUCUCUCGCUCUGCCUCUCUCUGUUUCCCUCUCUCUCUCUCUGCCUCUCUCUGUUUCCCUCUCUCGCUCUCCCUCUCUCUGUUUCCCUCUCUCGCUCUGCCUCUCUCUGUUUCCCUCUCUCUCGCUCUGCCUCUCUCUGUUUCCCUCUCUCUCUCUCUGCCUCUCUCUGUUUCCCUCUCUCGCUCUCCCUC
ensembl:lncRNA